AUUGAACGCUGGCGGCAGGCCUAACACAUGCAAGUCGAGCGGAUGAAGGGAGCUUGCUCCUGGAUUCAGCGGCGGACGGGUGAGUAAUGCCUAGGAAUCUGCCUGGUAGUGGGGGAUAACGUCCGGAAACGGGCGCUAAUACCGCAUACGUCCUGAGGGAGAAAGUGGAGGAUCUUCGGACCUCACGCUAUCAGAUGAGCCUAGGUCGGAUUAGCUAGUUGGUGGGGUAAAGGCCUACCAAGGCGACGAUCCGUAACUGGUCUGAGAGGAUGAUCAGUCACACUGGAACUGAGACACGGUCCAGACUCCUACGGGAGGCAGCAGUGGGGAAUAUUGGACGAUGGGCGAAAGCCUGAUCCAGCCAUGCCGCGUGUGUGAAGAAGGUCUUCGGAUUGUAAAGCACUUUAAGUUGGGAGGAAGGGCAGUAAGUUAAUACCUUGCUGUUUUGACGUUACCAACAGAAUAAGCACCGGCUAACUUCGUG
rnacentral:rRNA from 1 species